GGCAAAAGGGGAAGGAGCUCUCUGCCAUGGGAGAGAGAGGUGAAGCCUGACAGGAGCAGCAUCCAACAUUGCUGAGAGUUAAAGGGUCACUGUGCCAAGAGGUUUUCAGUACUCCAGCAUCCACAUGUGAUCCGCUUGGUAUGUUUACCUGAAAAAUAAAAAUAAGAACCCCAGAAUAUACAUACAAAGGACUUCAGGACAAAUUUUGUAGAGAUGGCUGAAUUUCGUGAUUUCCGCAAAAUCUGUGAAGUUGCAAUUUGAGUAGGUCCCUAUCUACGAUCAUUCAAACCCUAGCAUCAUAUGAAACUACGGAAGCAGCUAAAUGAUUCAUGACCCACUAUCCACCUACCCACCACAUGUUGAAGAUCCAGCAGAAAACCACCACUAUCAGUGGACAAUGAUCAGGAAACAUUUAUAGCAGAAUGAUUAGAAAGGAGCACACCUUCACACUUUUCCCCAAAAGCUGCAUUAAAAAAAAAAAGAUAUAUUUGCAACAAAUGCUGAAGAUCAACAGAUCCUUGGGUGAAUUUGAUAUCUUUUAUUAGACCAACCCAAAUAGUUGGAGAAUAGUUAUUAAGCAAGCUUUCCGGUUCAAAAACCCUUC